AUCUAUGGCCAGACCACCCUGAACACGCCCGAUCUCGUCUGGUCUCGGAAGCUAAGCAAGGUCCGGCCAGGUUAGUACUUGGAUGGGAGAAACAAUAUUGGCAAAGAGC
rnacentral:rRNA from 1 species